GAUAGUGACUCCCCAAGUGAUGCUACAUUCUGAACGUAUCACUGGGAAGACAUUAUCGU
rnacentral:pre_miRNA from 1 species